GCCUAGACCCUACGCAAUGAUCUUUUGUAGGUAACUCGCCAGGGCGAAAGCAGCAACGGACUUAUGAAUUUUUAUGUGCUGUAGGUAGUCUAGGUAUU
rnacentral:SRP_RNA from 1 species